AAUGCAGACCCGGCCGAAGGCGGGUCCAAGUGUAGUAUCUGCUCUUAUCAGCCUAAUAUAUUAGACGCGUUGUAUUUGGACCUAAAUAUUAAACUUAUUUUUGCAUGUUGGCGGAGUGUUCAAAACCUCCUUUAUCUCUACUGCGGGUGGGCCCGGUAUUGCAGAAUCUUCGUGAUCGGCUCAAGUAUG